rnacentral:rRNA from 1 species
UGACCAGCGGGCGUGGGUCUUUUAAGGGGUGAAAUCAACCUUCGUCAGUCGCCUCUCGCUCGCUGGCUAGCCUCUUCGACGCCUCUUUAACUCCUGUUCCUCUCACGCGCCCUUCACCCGUACCACUCCUCAAUCUCCUCGUACUCCUUAUUCAGCUGCGGAUCCGGUCCCACAGUUUUAAUCGUCAGAAACAAAUUAGGAAUUUAUUUCAGUCACUUCUUAUUCUCCUUCACGAUAGUUAUGUACACGUAUACGUGCACCAACUUGUGAACCGGAUGAUAGAUAAUAAACCAAUUCACUCCCACAUUCGAUAAUACAUUUCUUAUUCGACCUUAAUUUCAUAAUGAACACGGGACAAUAAGA